AGCUGCUACUCGAGUAUCUCAGUCAACUUACAGAAGAGUGGUCCAAGAGUCAGAAGAUAUAGAAAAUAUACCUUCCUGUUCCUUUACCAGUCCAAGGAAAAAAAAGGUUAAGAAAAUCUCAGAAGAUUGGUAACAUUACUUUGACCCAAAUUAAAGAUAUAAAACAAAUAGUGUAUGAUUUCUACAUAGUUGGAAAAAGAAGACCUACUCUAAAAUAUGUACCAAAACAGAAGAUAACAGAAAAGCUCUUAUGGAAUCCUACGACAUACGAUUGAAAAGGAUCAAAUAUUUAAAGCAAAUUUUAAAAUAUAAAGAGGAAGGCCGUAAUAUUGUAUAUACUGAUGAAAGUUACAUACAUAGCAGUCAUACAAAGGACAAAGGGUGGUUUGAUGAAAGUCGACAUAGAAUUAGAAAACCCAUUUCCAAAGGACAGAGACUGAUAAAUCUUCAUGCUGGAGGAAGAAAUAAUUUCGUAAAUAAUGGGUUACUGAUUUUUCGCUCAGGGUCAAAAAGCGAAGACUAUCAUGAUGACAUGAACCAUCACAACUUUAUGAAAUGGGCCGAAAAUCAGUUAAUUCCAAAUUUACUACCUAAUUCCGUCCUAGUCAAUGCAGCUUAUUACAAUGUGCCUGUAGUCAAGAAUGUUACAUCUGGAAGUAAAAAGCAGGAAAUAGUUGACUGGCUCAAGGAACGUAAUUUUACAUUUGAUGCAAAACUCACCAAGACAGAGUUAUAUGAAAUAGUGUCUGAAAAUAAAAAAAAGUAUCCUCUAAAAAACAAGUUGGACGACCUAAUAGAAAAGCAUGGACACAUUGUGUUACGUUUGCCUCCAUACCACCCAGAGCUUAAUCCGAUAGAAAAAAUUUGGGCAACUGUUAAGAAUUGGGUGGCAAGCAGAAAUUCCACUUUUAAAUUGACGGAUGUCGAAACUUUGAUAUAGCAGAAAUUUGCGGAAAUUUCGAAUGAUGAGUGAAUAAAUAUUUGCAACCAUAUAGACAACAUAGAAAAACAAUAUUUCGAAAGUCAUAGAAAGUCAAAGUCAAGAAGCAUUGGCUUCUUUAAAAUUUACAGUAAAUACAGGCUCAUCUGAUGAAGAGA